rnacentral:tRNA from 1 species
AGGAAGAUAAGCUAAGUAAGCUAAUGGGCUCAUACCCCACAAAUAGGGGUUUUAAUCCCCUUCUCCCUA